rnacentral:rRNA from 1 species
UGGGGAAUAUUGGACAAUGGGGGCAACCCUGAUCCAGCGAUGCCGCGUGUGUGAAGAAGGCCCGAGGGUUGUAAAGCACUUUUAGUGGGGAGGAUAGGCAUUUGGCUAAUACCCAGAUGUCCAGACGUUACCCACCAUAAACAGCACCGGCUAACUCCGUGCCAGCAGCCGCGGUAAUACGGGGGGUGCAAGCGUUAAUCGGAGUUAUUGGGCGUAAAGGGUGCGUAGGUGGUUCAUUAAGUUAUCUGGGAAAUUCCUGGGCUCAACCUAGGAAUGUCGGGUGAUACUGGUGGACUUGAGUAUAGUAGAGGGUAGUGGAAUUUCCGGUGUAGCGGUGAAAUGCGUAGGGAUCGGAAGGAACACCAGUGGCGAGGGCGGCUACCUGGACUAAUACUGACACUGAGGCACGAAAGCGUGGGGAGCAAACAGGAUUAGAUACCCUGGUAGUCCACGCCGUAAACGAUGUCAACUAGCUGUUGGGUACUUAAAUGUACUUAGUGGCGUAGCUAACGCGAUAAGUUGACCGCCUGGGGAGUACGAUCGCAAGAUUA